GUUUACGGCCAUACCAGCCUGGGUACGCCUGAUCUCGUCUGAUCUCGGAAGCUAAGCAGGGUCGGGCCUGGUUAGUACUUGAUGGGAGACCGCCUGGGAAUACCAGGUGCUGUAAGCU
rnacentral:rRNA from 1 species